UUCCCCUUCAAACCUGUGUCCAACCUUUAUCCCAAAACAGGAUGUUGUGCAGAGGCCAUGAAAACACUGAUCCAAAUAAAAAGCUUACAGCACCUAGUAUUCCCAUUCAGUCUCCCAACCAAGUACUAACCAGGCCCAGCUCUGCUUUGCUUCCGAGGUCAGAUGAGAUCAGGCUUUUUCAGAGUGGUAUGGCCGUAAGCGAAAGCUGACCCCAAAUGGGGCCUAUUUUAAAUAGUGUAAUCAAAAGACUGACUGACUGAUUGAUUGAUUGAUUGGGUCCCCUUCAAACCUGUGUCCAACCUUUAUCCCAAAACAGGAUGUUGUGCAGAGGCCAUGAAAACACUGAUCCAAAUAAAAAGCUUACAGCACCUAGUAUUCCCAUUCAGUCUCAUAACCAAGUACUAACCAGGCCCAACUCUGCUUUGCUUCCGAGGUCAGAUGAGAUCAGGCUUUGUCAGAGUGGUAUGGCCGUAAGCGAAAGCUGACCCCAAAUGGGGCCUAUUUAAAUAGUGUAAUCAAAAGACUGACUGAGUGACUGACUGAUUGAUUGAUUGGGUCCCCUUCAAACCUGUGUCCAACCUUUAUCCCAAAACAGGAUGUUGUGCAGAGGCCAUGAAAACACUGAUCCAAAUAAAAAGCUUACAGCACCUAGUAUUCCCAUUCAGUCUCCCAACCAAGUACUAACCAGGCCCAACUCUGCUUUGCUUCCGAGGUCAGAUGAGAUCAGGCUUUUUCAGAGUGGUAUGGCCGUAAGCGAAAGCUGACCCCAAAUGGGGGCUAUUUAAAAUAUGUAAUCAAAAGACUGACUGACUGACUGACUGACUGACUUGAUUGAUUGAUUGAUUGGGUCCCCUUCAAACCUGUGUCCAACCUUUAUCCCAAAACAGGAUGUUGUGCAGAGGCCAUGAAAACACUGAUCCAAAUAAAAAAGCUUACAGCACCUAGUAUUCCCAUUCAGUCUCCCAACCAAGUACUAACCAGGCCCAACUCUGCUUUGCUUCCGAGGUCAGAUGAGAUCAGGCUUUUUCAGAGUGGUAUGGCCGUAAGCGAAAGCUGACCCCAAAUGGGGCCUAUUUAAAUAGUGUAAUCAAAAGACUGACUGACUGACUGACUGACUGACUGACUGACUGAUUGAUUGAUUGAUUGGGUCCCUUCAAACCUGUGUCCAACCUUUAUCCCAAAACAGGAUGUUGUGCAGAGGCCAUGAAAACACUGAUCCAAAUAAAAAGCUUACAGCACCUAGUAUUCCCAUUCAGUCUCCCAACCAAGUACUAACCAGGCCCAACUCUGCUUUGCUUCCGAGGUCAGAUGAGAUCAGGCUUUUUCAGAGUGGUAUGGCCGUAAGCGAAAGCUGACCCCAAAUGGGGCUAUUUAAAUAGUGUAAUCAAAA
ensembl:lncRNA